GACGAACGCUGGCGGCGUGCUUAACACAUGCAAGUCGAACGAUGAAGAAGAGACACGCGAACUUCGGCUCCAAUUUCACUUCGGAUUAGUGGCAGACGGGUGAGUAACGCGUUCGCAACCUACCUCUUACAAAGGGAUAGCCUCGGGAAACCGUGAUUAAUACCCUAUGACUCAUUCAUAAGGCAUCUUAAGAAUGUUAAAGCUACGGCGGUAAGAGAUAGGCUCGCGUCCCAUUAGCUAGUUGGUGAGGUAACGGCCCACCACGGAGACGAGGGGUAACCGGGCUGAGAGGGUGAACGGUCACAUUGGAACUGGGACACGGUCCAAACUCCUACGGGAGGCAGGAGUGUGGAAUAGUGCACAAUGGAGGGAACUCUGAUGCAGCGACGCCGGGUGAGCGAUGAAGGAAGUCGUUUAGUAAAGCUCUGUUCUAUGGGAAGAAAAGGACUGUAACAGAGGAGAAAGCCCCGGCUAAAUACGUG
rnacentral:rRNA from 1 species